UAACCUUAAGCCCAACCUACGAAGGAGUUCACAAGGCGGACUUCAGAAGCCUCUAAGGAAAUUUGAAUCUCUUUACACUCAGACCACGCCCCCUAUGGUGAUUUCAAGUCACCGCUUCCGUCAUGCUGGAAAUCGCUUCUGGCGGUAGAGGAGACUCAAACACUACCUAUCAUACAUCAAACGAAUCAUUUAUCCCUCCUCUUUCUAAGCCCUAAACUCACUCAUUCCAAUUUCAACUUCAUCAUUCUAAACCGACUAUACCAAACAAAGAACCCUAAUUCUAAAUUCAUCAAUUAUUUGCAAGAUAUGGGAAGAUGUAGGCGAAGCAAUUAGGGCUUCAGCUUUAGGAUCUAUAGGCUAUAACUUGCCAACUCAGAAAUGUAAAGAAGAGGCUGCAGAUUACCUACACACGAAGCUUCUGAUGAUGUUGAUGGCAAGAAAAUACCAGAGGCAACACCAGCUAAUUAUGAUUAUUCAACAUUGCAAUUCUUCUUCUACUCAAUCCCCUUAAUUUGUAGCAAAAAUCUACGUUAUGCAAUUGAGAUGUGGCGAGAGAGUAACGAGUCCGAGAGUGAUGAAUGAAGGCUUAAGCUCCACCAAUUGAGGCUUCGAUGUGAAGCUUCAAUGGUGCAUUCUAAGGAGAGAUCAAGUGAGGGUUGGUUCAGAGGGAGAGAGAAUAUGAGGUCAAUUUUUUGUGAGAAUUCUGAGAGUGAAAAUGGUUGAGUGACAUGAAUGAACUGUGAUGAGAGAUUUUUUAGAAACCCAUUCUAUUACAAAUCCAUAUGAAAUUCAAGUUAAAUGCAAAUCUAAAUUCGGAAGUUAGUUGUGAAAUGUGUUAGUUAGUUAGUCAGUUGCAUUGAUUCUGUUAAUGAAUCUGGUGUUAGUUUUAAAUGAAUUUGGAGUUAAUUUGAAAAUGAUUUUGAAGUUAAUUUUGAAAGUGAACUUAAGGUUAAUUUGUUUUGAAUUUAUAAUUAAUUUGUUAUAUGUUUGGACAAGUUAAAUUCUAGGGAAUUGAUUCUUGAAAAUGAAUUUUGUUCUGUUAUGAUUUCGUUAGUAGUUCUGUUAUAUCGGUUCGAAGUAAAAAAUUAGUCAGUGUAGUUAGUUAAUGGAUUAUGGAUUUGGUUCAUGCCAUGUUAAUUAAGUUGUUUAUUUUAAUUGUGAUGCCAUGUUUAUGCUGUUGUGAAGGUUGCAACAUUGAUGUUUGGAUCAUUGCAUUGCAGGGUGAAUAUUUAUGCAGGUCUGCUUACAUUGGCUUGUUAUGAAUGCCCUGCUUGAUUGUUAUGUAUUGUUCUACCUUGGACUAUUAUAUUGCAGAUGUACUAUUGGGUUUUGAAUCGCAUUGAUCAAGUUAGGUAUGUGGCAACUAGGUAUUGCUUAGGGUGGCUUGACUGAACUGAUGUACGAUGGGAUUCCAUUUGAAUGUGUUUGCUACAGGCUUCACUUGGCAUGGUCUUGAUGUAGGCAUGGUGGGCAAAAUUGUAAGUUAUCUUCAAGGCAAGAAAGACAAGUUCAAGCUAUGAUGACCAAUUUGGAAAAUGCUUUACUAAUUGAGUAAAUGGUGGCCAUGGAUGAUCAUGAGAUGCUACAAUGAUGAAUAUGUGAUUAAUGUUAAGAUUCUAGGGUGAAAAAAUGAAUUUUGAUUUAUUUUUGUAAAGAACAAUGUAUGCUUUGAUAAAUGAAUGAAGAAUUCAUGUUUUAAAUGUAA